GAUCAGUGGCGAACGGGUGAGUAACACGUGAGCAACCUGCCCUGGACUCUGGGAUAAGCGCUGGAAACGGCGUCUAAUACUGGAUAUGAGACGUGAUCGCAUGGUCGUGUUUGGAAAGAUUUUUCGGUCUGGGAUGGGCUCGCGGCCUAUCAGCUUGUUGGUGAGGUAAUGGCUCACCAAGGCGUCGACGGGUAGCCGGCCUGAGAGGGUGACCGGCCACACUGGGACUGAGACACGGCCCAGACUCCUACGGGAGGCAGCAGUGGGGAAUAUUGCACAAUGGGCGGAAGCCUGAUGCAGCAACGCCGCGUGAGGGAUGACGGCCUUCGGGUUGUAAACCUCUUUUAGCAGGGAAGAAGCGAAAGUGACGGUACCUGCAGAAAAAGCGCCGGCUAACUACGUGCCAGCAGCCGCGGUAAUACGUAGGGCGCAAGCGUUAUCCGGAAUUAUUGGGCGUAAAGAGCUCGUAGGCGGUUUGUCGCGUCUGCUGUGAAAUCCCGAGGCUCAACCUCGGGCCUGCAGUGGGUACGGGCAGACUAGAGUGCGGUAGGGGAGAUUGGAAUUCCUGGUGUAGCGGUGGAAUGCGCAGAUAUCAGGAGGAACACCGAUGGCGAAGGCAGAUCUCUGGGCCGUAACUGACGCUGAGGAGCGAAAGGGUGGGGAGCAAACAGGCUUAGAUA
rnacentral:rRNA from 1 species